rnacentral:rRNA from 1 species
UACGUAGGGGGCUAGCGUUGUCCGGAAUCAUUGGGCGUAAAGAGCGUGUAGGCGGUCCGGUAAGUCCGCUGUGAAAGUCGGGGGCUCAACCCUCGAAUGCCGGUGGAUACUGUCGGGCUAGAGUGCGGAAGAGGCGAGUGGAAUUCCUGGUGUAGCGGUGAAAUGCGCAGAUAUCAGGAGGAACACCGGUGGCGAAGGCGGGGUCUCUGGGCCGGAAACUGACGCUAAGGGAGCGAAAGCGUGGGGAGCCGAACAGG